UGCAUCGGCCGGGAAUCGAACCCGCGGGCGCGUGGCAGGCGAGCAUUCUACCACUGAACCACCGAUGC